UACGAACGCUGGCGGCGUGCUUAACACAUGCAAGUCGAACGGAAAGGCCCUGCUUUUGUGGCGUGCUCGAUUGGCGAACGGGUGAGUAACACGUGAGUAACCGGCCCUUGACUUUGGGAUAACUUCAGGAAACUGGGGCUAAUACCGGAUAGGAGCUCCUGCUUCAUGGUGGGGGUUGGAAAGUUUCGGCGGUGGGGGCUGGACUCGCGGCUUAUCAGCUUGUUGGUCGGGUAGUUGCUUACCAAGGCAUUGACGGGUAGCCGGCCUGAGAGGAUGACCGGAGACAUUGGGACUAAGAUACGGCCCAGACUCCUACGGGAGGCAGCAGUGGGGAAUACUGCACAAUGAGAGGAAACCUGAUGGAGCGACGCCGCGUGCGGGAUGACGUCAUUCGGGUUAUAAACCGCUUUAGCAUGUGACGAAGCGUGAGUGACGGUAAUGGAUAAAGAAGCCCCGGCUAACUACGUG
rnacentral:rRNA from 1 species